rnacentral:ncRNA from 1 species
UGUCGCUUGGCAAAAAUUAAGCCGAAUCUGGAUUAGUCUAGUAGCUCCUUUUGAGCGAAAAAUUAAUAGGCAAAAAAAGAU